UUACUACUCCCUCCGCCCGAAAAAGCUUGUCCCUCAAAUGGAUGUAUCUAGCAUUGAUGCUAGAUACAUCCAUUUGAGGGACAAGCUUUUUCGGACAGAGGGAGUAUAUG
rfam:Triticum aestivum genome assembly, contig: Triticum_aestivum_CS42_TGACv1_scaffold_577050_7BL